GACGAACGCUGGCGGCGUGCUUAACACAUGCAAGUCGAACGGAAAGGCCCUGCUUGCAGGGUACUCGAGUGGCGAACGGGUGAGUAACACGUGGGUGAUCUGCCCUGCACUUCGGGAUAAGCCUGGGAAACUGGGUCUAAUACCGGAUAGGAGCCAUUUUUAGUGUGAUGGUUGGAAAGUUUUUUGGGUGUAGGAUGAGCUCGCGGCCUAUCAGUUUGUUGGUGGGGUAAUGGCCUACCAAGGCGGGGACGGGUAGCCGGCCUGAGAGGGUGGACGGCCACAUUGGGACUGAGAUACGGCCCAGACUCCUACGGGAGGCAGCAGUGGGGAAUAUUGCACAAUGGGCGCAAGCCUGAUGCAGCGACGCCGCGUGGGGGAUGACGGCCUUCGGGUUGUAAACUCCUUUCGCUAGGGACGAAGCUUUUUGUGACGGUACCUAGAUAAGAAGCACCGGCUAACUACGUG
rnacentral:rRNA from 1 species